GACUGCCGCUGCGCCCCCCACCCCCUUUCAUGUCUGCCGCGCCUCCCGCCAUUAUCUCCCGCAGCCGCGCGGCGUAAUUCGAUGCCAAUCAGGUUUGGGGCGCUGAGGCUGGCGGAUCAAAGCCGGGCCGCGGCGCUGGAGCAAGUGGAGUGGGGGAGCAGACUGUGCUCCCCCGGGUCGGGGCACCCACCGUGUGUCCCGCGCAAGCGCCGGGGUCAGGCGGGGCAGGCCGCGCCCAGUCUGCGAGGGGCUCAGAGACCCGCGUGGGACGGGGCGGCCAGUGCCCGGACCGAGCAGCCGGCAGGGCACCGGGCAGCUCUUGCGCGGGAGGUCGGGGAUGGUUUCCUGGAAGGCGAGGCCUUGAGGCGGGGCCUUGAAAGAUUUCGGAAGCAAAUGUGGAGCAAGCAGAGAAACCCUGGGCAGAAUUCUAUGCAGAGGGACCGGCUUGGGCAAAGGCCUGGGAGGCAGGAAGCAGCGGUGGUUAGGAGGAGAAGGGACCUCUUCUGGCUCGACUGCUGUGCCACCAUCCGUGCGCGUGGAGCAGCAGAGGGUCCUCGAGAGGGGAGGGACAGAAUCUCAGUUGGCCUUCUGAUGAUGUCCUCUGCCUGCUGGCAGCCCUGCUGUUUCCUCCUCUGGGAAAUGGGGGAGCUGAUAGCUGAUAAUCUCCACAAGAGAUUUGUGAGAUGGUGAACAUGAUAAAACAAGCGCUACUCUCAUUUAUUGAGCACUUAUUAUUUGCCAGGCCAGGCACCAGUCGUGUUUCAUCCCCACAAUGGCUCUACAAGGUUGGAACUCACUUUACAGAUGAGAAACAGAGGCACAGAGAGGCCUUUGGACUGAGAAGGCGCCAGCAAGCAAGGGUCCCCACCUCUGGACCUCUGUCCUCUAUCCUUCAACCCUCAGAUCUGAGCUCUGGUCAGGAAAGCUGCUCGCCGCUGGAGGGCUCUGCAGGGCCCGGCUGCAGGCCUGACCAGGUCCUUUUUGCCAUCUGUUGGCUACGUCUCCUGCCUACCUGAAGGAGGUUGUGGGAACAACAGCUUGAAUUACGGAAAGAAGUUUCCCCACUGAGUUAAUCUGCAGUGGCUGGAGGUGACCUUCUGGAGACGGCGAUUAAUCACGGGCCGUGGCGGGCGCCGCGCCACGCCGGGCCCUUUGGGGGAAUACUAAUUCCACUACAAGAUAAAUCAUAAUUUGACAAUAAUCAUC